rnacentral:rRNA from 1 species
GGGUCUAUAUGGCAAGUCGAGCGAGCUUGCCUAGAUGAUUUUAGUGCUUGCACUAAAUGAAACUAGAUACAAGCGAGCGGCGGACGGGUGAGUAACACGUGGGUAACCUGCCCAAGGGACUGGGAUAACACCUGGAAACAGAUGCUAAUACCGGAUAACAACACUAGACGCAUGUCUAGAGUUUGAAAGAUGGUUCUGCUAUCACUCUUGGAUGGACCUGCGGUGCAUUAGCUAGUUGGUAAGGUAACGGCUUACCAAGGCAAUGAUGCAUAGCCGAGUUGAGAGACUGAUCGGCCACAUUGGGACUGAGACACGGCCCAAACUCCUACGGGAGGCAGCAGUAGGGAAUCUUCCACAAUGGACGAAAGUCUGAUGGAGCAACGCCGCGUGAGUGAAGAAGGGUUUCGGCUCGUAAAGCUCUGUUGGUAGUGAAGAAAGAUAGAGGUAGUAACUGGCCUUUAUUUGACGGUAAUUACUUAGAAAGUCACGGCUAACUACGUGCCAGCAGCCGCGGUAAUACGUAGGUGGCAGGCGUUGUCCGGAUUUAUUGGGCGUAAAGCGAGUGCAGGCGGUUCAAUAAGUCUGAUGUGAAAGCCUUCGGCUCAACCGGAGAAUUGCAUCAGAAACUGUUGAACUUGAGUGCAGAAGAGGAGAGUGGAACUCCAUGUGUAGCGGUGGAAUGCGUAGAUAUAUGGAAGAACACCAGUGGCGAAGGCGGCUCUCUGGUCUGCAACUGACGCUGAGGCUCGA